UCACUUGGCAUAUACAACAGAAUUUCUCAGAAUCUAAUACACAUUUUCAAAACCCGGAAAAUCAUGAACUACAAGCCUUUGAAUAUCUAAUAAAGAAAGAAAAUACAGAAGGACUAAUAUCUAAAAGCAAGAAUAGAAAGGGAUUCAUCGGUCUGCGGACGCGGAAGAUGUACCUCAAAGUCUCCAAGGAAGUCUCCUCGCCUUAAGGGUUGUAGGACUGAGUCGAUAUACCUGGAUAUGCAGAUGAAAAACAUGCGAAAAAAGGAAAUGAGUACAGUACAUCGGUACUCUGUAAAUGCCAAGCCUAACCUCGAUCGGGUAGUGAUGAGGCAGGGCCCUAAUGAGGUUAAAUAAAAUAUAAAGUUUGACAUUGUAGAACAAAGCAGUAUAAAUAAAUACAGUAGUAAAAGUAAUACAGAUUAUAUAAAAUGGCAACAACAACCACAAUAGAAACCAGGCAAACACAUAAAGAAACAUAAUUUAGCACCAAAAUGACGAUCAUGUAUCUCCCAAGAGACCGUCAUGUAGUCCCAAAUAUACAUAUACAAUAGAUAUCCCGAGAUUCCAUCCCGUAGUCAAACUCAUAGUGCAUGGGCGUCUACCAGAAUACCGUUCGAUAGUCCCAAAUGUAGAUACCGAGUACUGGGGGAACCUACCGGGUGCAUUCCCAUAGUUUCAUAUAACUGUGCAGGGGGAUCUACUGGAAUCCCACAUCCGUAGUCCCAGUGUAAAUAUUCAAAUAUGUCAAGUUUCAUAUUAAGGCAACAAGUAAUCCUAGCUUAGCAUGCUGCACAGAACUCAGGUAACGUAGUUUGAACAAAUAAGCAAUUAAAUCACUUAGACAUGCUUUCCUAAGCUAAGAACAUGCUAAAUAGUUCACAUAGUAAAAAUAGGAAAGUAAAAAAUACAAUAGUAUUUACUUAAUGAAAAAUGAGUUUCGAACAAUUGGCACAAGUACACACUCGUCACCUCACACACAAGGCAUUUCAAUUACAAAUAAUAGAAAAUCCUGAGAAAAAGGUGCCUCACACAAGAUUAGGCAAGCCACUGACCUCGAUCAGGCUAAAAUCAACCUGAUACCACGUUCAUACCACUAGUACUCGAUUCCAAAUGGCCCAAAUCUAUUCAAUUCAAUUGCAUAAUAUAAAUUACACAUCAAGUAACUGAUUUUAUAAUUAAAAUCUAAGCCAAUGCACGAAAUUAGGUAAAAUCACCAAAGCACCUCUUGGCCCACAUCUCGGAAUCGAAUAAAAUUUAUAUUUUUAGAAUCCUCACGCUCUCAGGAGUUCAUGCAUACCAAAAUUAUCCAAAUAUAAGGUCAAAUUCCCAAUAAAAAGUCGAAUUCUAUGAAAAAGAACAUUCUUCCAACUUUUCCCCAAUUUUCAUCUUCAAUCCGAAAUUAAAUGACGAAUUCAUGUUUGGAUUAUGGGUUACAAGAAAAAAAAUUAAGAAUCAUUACCCAAUCGAUAUCGCUGAAAAUCCCUCAAAACCUCGCUCAAAUUCGAGCUCCCAAGCUUUAGUUUUCACAAAAAUGACUAAACCCUCGGCUUUGAAAUUUUAUAUUCUGCCCAGAUGCGUUCUUCUUCGCGAAUGCGAGACUACUAUUGCGAAUGCAACGUACAAAAAUCCUACUGGCCAACUUCCUCUUUUGCGAACGCAUAGCUUACACUGGCAGGACCCACGCGAACGCAAAGACUAAAGGGUCCAUACCCUCGCGAAUGCGGGACAUCAUCGCGAAUGCAAAGCACGAUUCAUCUGCUUCACCUAGAUGCUCUACGCGAACUCAAGACCCUCUCGUAAAGGCGAUGAAUGUUUUCUCUGCAACAUAACAGUAAAAAAUCUGCAAUCUCUCCAAGUCCAAAAAUUGUCCGUUGAGCAUCUGAAACAUACCCGAGGCUCCCGGGGUCUCAACCAAACCUACCAACACAUCCCAUAACUUCAUUCAAACUUAUUCCAACCUUCAGAAUGCUCAAAACAACAUCAAAAUACCCUAUUUUUCAUCGGAUUCAAGCCUAAGAAUUCUAAAAACUCUAAAAAUACACUUUCGAUCAAAAAGUCUACCAAACCUCGUCCGAAUAACCUGAAAUUUUGCACACACCUCACAUUCAACACUACAGAGCUACUCCAACUUUUUUCGGAAUUCCCUUGGAUAAAAAUCCCACUAUCGAACCGAAAAUUUAAAAAAAUUUAACUUUUGGCAUUUCAAGCCUAAAUUAGCUAAGGACCUCCAAAACACUAUCUGAACACGCCCCUAAGCCCAAAAUCACCAAAUGUAGCUAACAGAACCAUCGGAUUUCCAUUCCAAGGCCAUCUUCACACUGUUCUGACUACGGUCAACUUUCCAACACAUAAGCUCUCAUUUAGGACUAAGUGUCCCAAAACUCUCCGAAACUCAAAACCGAAUAUCCCGGCAAAUAAAAAUAGUAGAUAUUAACUCGGGGAAGAAGUUAAUAGCAGAUCGGGACGUUAAUUCUUAAAACGACAUGCCGGGUAGUCACAUAGUCAAAGCCUACAGAUAAGCUACGAUUCCAGAACAUUAUGCAAACAAGACGUCAAGGAAAGACAGUAACGCUCCCUGCCCAGAUGUUAUUAAUAGAUAAGAAGCCAGUGCGAACAUAAUUCAAGUCAAAGGAAAUAACCCAAGAAUGAUUACACGGAAUAUUGAUAUGAGAAUGGGCCAACAAAUAGUUAGUGAUUGAUGAGAAAGAGCCCAACUAUGGCUAAAUAGGUGGUUACAAACGAGUCAUCCAAUCGUAUAAGAUAAACAUAGUAAAACCCACCAUGGAGAAUACAACCUCGCAGUAAUAUUAUUAUAAUACAUGCGAUAUAUUCAAAUAGGAGUCGAAAUAGUUAAAAGUAUCGUAUGAGUAUCAUGGGGAUAAAAGAAACUGCCACUAGGAAGACAGUAUAAAAUGUCUUUUCAGAAGCAACCCUACAAGCACAGGGGUGAGGAGGUAAAUAACUAAGGAUAAUUAUAGGCGAGGAACGACGUCAAAAGUUUUGCCAAGUAUAUCCGAUGUAACAACCUCGCAGCUUUGUAAGAGUCAGAGGGUCCUUCCUAAAUACUACGAUAAAGGACUAACUGAGGAAACAAGGAAGAAGACUUCAAUCUAAGCAUAACUACCUAAACAGGAAAUGGUCAGUUAACAACAUGUGAAAAUAAUAAAAUUACGUAAUAAUCCCGAAAUUGGUCAAACCCGACCCUCGAGCCCACGUUUUGGAUUUCGAUAAAAAUCAGAAAACUAGAACAUUUACACUCUCACGAGUUCAUAUAUACCAAAUACAUCAAAAUUUAACAACAAACGACCCCACAAAUUCUUAAAUCAAAGUCUCCAACUUCAAGUCCUAAUUCUCCACGUUUAGGCUUUAAAUUCUACUAAUUUUAGGCGUAAUUGAGUAGAAAUCAAUAGAGAAUCGAGUGUUGAGUUCAAAAACCCUACCUUCAAGUGUUUCCCUUUGAUUCCCUCUUCAAUCUCUCUCAAAAAACUCAAAAUACGGCAGACAAUGGUGAGAAAUGGCCUAAAAUUCGUGAAGUUGGCUAUUUAAACAUUCUGCCAAGAUAUAUUUUCUUUUUCACGAACGCGGUCAAGGCCUUGCUUUGGCGAAGCACAAAAUUCAUUGACCAAUUAAAUCCUCUUUCGCGAAUGCGAAAAGCUCCUCGGGAACGCAAUGCUUCAACCGCCAAAGCAUUCACGAACACAACUAUGCUUACGUGAACCCGAAGCACAAAGCUCCUGGGUCCCAACUUCCCCAAUUACUCUACGCGAAUGUGUGACCGACUUCGCGUUCGCGAUGCACCCUCUACCUCACCGUUCGCGAAUGCGGGACCAACAUCGCGAUUGCGAAUAGCAAUUCCCCUGCCUUACUCCACAUAUCUUCGCGAAUGCGAUAGCCCUCUCGCGAACGCGAAGAACAAAACUCUACAACAAAAACAUCAGAAAAUCUGCAACUCUCCACAACCACGAAUUGGUCUGUUAACCAUCCGAAACUCACCCGAAGCCGUCGGGACCUAAACCAAACAUGUCAACACAUCUCAAAACAUCAUUCAAACUUAUUCCAACCUUCGUAACGCUCAAAACAACAUCAAAACAUCAAAUCACCCUCAGAUUCAAGCCUAAGGAUUCAAAAAUUCCAUAUUCCGAAUUCGAUCAAAAAAUCUAUCAAACCUCGUCCGAAUGACUUGAAAUAUGGCACAUACGACCUAAACGACACAACGGACGUUCUGCAACUUUCGGAAUUCCGUUCUGGCCCCAAUAUCACAAUUUUUACUACCAACCGGAAAGCGCCAACAUUCUAAUUUCGCCAAUACAAGCCUAAAUCUACCACAGACCUUCAAAUUACUUUUGAACACGCUCCUAAGUCCCAAAUCACCUCACGAAGCUAUCUGAAUCAUAAAAAUCAAACUCCGAAUCUUUUACUCACAGGUCAACUUUCGGUUGACGUUUCUAACUAAAUGGCCCACUUAAGAGACUAAGUGUCUCAUAACACUCCAAAACUAUCCCAAACUCGAACCAACCAAUGCGAUGCAAUGAAGUGUAGUUGAACAACAUAUAAGAAGCAGAAAUGAGUGAAACAGAGCAGUUAACUCAUGAAACGACCGGCCGGGUCGUUACACUUUUGAACAUUCAACUUCCAAUACCCAUAUCGAACCAUAUCAAAUCAACCCGGAAUGAACUCAAAGUUUACACACAAUUCCCAAGUGACAUAACGAAGCUAUUCCAAUACCCGAAAUAAUAAUUUGAACCCGAUAUCAUUCCGUCAAACUUAUUGAAAUUUCAAAACUUCAAAUUGCCAACUUUCACCAAAUAGUGCCGAAACCUUCCAGAAACAUCCAAAUGCAAAUCCUAACAUACACCCAAGUCAACAAACACCAUCCAAACCUAAUGAAUCAUCAAGACUCCGGUCUGAGGUGAAUACUCAAAAUUCAAACUUGGUAAACUCUUCCAACUUAAAUCUUCAAAUAUGAAAUUCAUUCUUCCAAACUAAUUCUGAAUCACCCGAAGACCGAAACCAGCGAUACGCACAAUUCAUAAUAUAUCAUAUGAAACUACUCAAGGCUUCAAAUAGCUAAACAAAAAUACAAAUGAACAAAACAACCAGUUGGAUCGUUACAAAAAUUCUAGCAAGCUUUACUUCACUUACCUUUUUCUGUCACAAAAUAGUUAUUCUUAAACUUUUGAAAGAAAAGGUCACUCAGUUUGCGAUCAAUCCCUCAGCAGUUUCCUAGCAACGUCCAGCACAGAAGAAAUUCAGAUGCUAUGAACCUACUCGAGUUUCCACCCUUCUGGAAAACGCGUCUGCCUUGAGUGGGAUUUGUAUAUUUAGUCCGCACUACUACGAAUUUUCUAAGUUUACUUCCAAAACGCCAAACGAGGCCUCAUCUAAAGAAAGAACGAAAUAAAGAAAGAAAGAAGAAUGAAGGGGAAAAAAAGGGAAAUCAAGAGGGUGCACUUUCACCAGGUCAACUUUUAAUUGUAUUCUACGGAUAGAAGCACUAUAUACGAAUUUAAUCAAUAAAAACUGAACUUCAACAUCCUUUGUUAAACUGAUAGUUCUUUGGCGUUUUGUUUCUUCUCUCUAUCUAUUUGCCUGGAAGCUGGUAAUCAAAUUUUCACCAUAUACACAAUUUUUACAUAAAGAGGUUAGUUAAAUAUGAAAUAGAAGUGAUUUUCUAAUGCAACAAUAAGUGGUUAUCAUGAAUAAAAAAAGGGUAAGUAAACUAUCAAAAUCGAUCAAACUUUAUGAAACGUGUAAUUCUAAUUUACAGCGGAAAUAACUUAAUUCAUCUGGUGAUAUGUAUUGGUUUGAUGAGCCAUACUUAGACUAAUAUUAAACAACAAAAAAGUAAUGUAUUAUUUAUGUUUUACCUGACCAGUAAAAAUAGUGAUGGAACCAGGCCCCUGUGUUUGUUGAAGGAAAUUUCCGUAAAGGUGUGGAGCCAUGACAUAACAGAGAAAAGAAUUCCAGGUCGAAGUCAUCAUAUCUAUAAAGGUGGGACGGCAGCUUCCAC
rnacentral:lncRNA from 1 species